AGCGAAACCUAAAGGCGAAAUGAAAGUGAAGGCGCGCCUCGCGCGCGCCUAGGGAGGAUGGGCGACGUCCCGAGGACUACGAUCCGACGGCGCCGUCGCCCCGCACUCCCGGGGCGUCUCGUUCUCAUCGCGAGAAGAGGCGCACCCAGAGCGUACACGCUGGGACCCGAAAGAUGGUGAACUAUGCCUGGUCAGGACGAAGUCAGGGGAAACCCUGAUGGAGGUCCGUAGCGAUUCUGACGUGCAAAUCGAUCGUCGGAACUGGGUAUAGGGGCGAAAGACUAAUCGAACCAUCUAGUAGCUGGUUCCCUCCGAAGUUUCCCUCAGGAUAGCUGGCGCUCGCGAAACAUUGCGAGUCUCAUCCGGUAAAGCGAAUGAUUAGAGGCAUUGGGGUCGAAACGGCCUCAACCUAUUCUCAAACUUUAAAUGGGUGAGAUCUCCGGCUUGCUUGAAAGUUGAAGCCGCGAGAUCGGAUCAGAGUGCCAAGUGGGCCACUUUUGGUAAGCAGAACUGGCGCUGUGGGAUGAACCAAACGCGGAGUUAAAGCGCCUAAAUCGACGCUUAUGGGAUACCAUGAAAGGCGUUGGUAACUUAAGACAGCAGGACGGUGGCCAUGGAA
rnacentral:rRNA from 1 species